rnacentral:tRNA from 1 species
GGGCCGGUAGCUCAGUGGUUAGAGCUGGGGACUCAUAAUCCCUAGGUCGUGGGUUCAAGUCCCGCCCGGCCCACCA